GAUCAGAUACCGUCGUAGUCCACUCCCUAAACGAUGCCAACUAGUGGUUGGUGCAUUAGCAGAUAUGAAAGUCUUUGGGCUCUGGGGGGAGUACGGUCGCAAGGGCGAAACUUAAAGGAAUUGACGGAACGGCACCACCAGGGGUGGAGCGUGCGGCUUAAUUUGACUCAACGCGGGAAACCUUACUAGGGUAAGACAUUGGUAUGAUUGACAGAUUACUUGAUCUUUCUUGAUUUGGUGGGUGGUGGUGCAUGGCCGAUCUUAGUUGGUGGGGUGACCCGUCUGGUUAAUUUCGAUAACGAACGAGAUCCGAGCUGUUUAGUUGGUCUCCUAUAUGGACUGUCAGUAUGAGAAGGAAGUUUCGGGCUAAAUCAGGUCUGUGAUGCCCUUAGACACUCUAGGCGGCACGCGCGCUACAAUGGGCGGAAGAACGUGUUCCACCGAAAGGUGGGGUGAAUCACGAAUUCUUGCCCGUGAAUGGGAUAGUUUGUUGCAAUUUUCGGACUUGAACUAGGAAUCCCUUGUAAGCAUGCUCAAGAAUAGCGUGUUGAAUACAUCCCUGCCGUUUGUACACACCGCCCGUCGUUUCUUCCGACUGAUACUCAUUGUGAGUUGCAAGGGGGAAUUGCUGCGAAUGCUUUGUAUUGGAGGAAGAAAAAGUCGUAACAAGGUUAUCGUAGGUGAACCUGCAGAAGGAUCA
rnacentral:rRNA from 1 species